GAUGAACGCUGGCGGCGUGCCUAAUACAUGCAAGUCGAGCGAACAGACGAGGAGCUUGCUCCUCUGACGUUAGCGGCGGACGGGUGAGUAACACGUGGAUAACCUACCUAUAAGACUGGGAUAACUUCGGGAAACCGGAGCUAAUACCGGAUAAUAUAUUGAACCGCAUGGUUCAAUAGUGAAAGACGGUUUUGCUGUCACUUAUAGAUGGAUCCGCGCCGCAUUAGCUAGUUGGUAAGGUAACGGGUUACCAAGGCAACGAUGCGUAGCCGACCUGAGAGGGUGAUCGGCCACACUGGAACUGAGACACGGUCCAGACUCCUACGGGAGGCAGCAGUAGGGAAUCUUCCGCAAUGGGCGAAAGCCUGACGGAGCAACGCCGCGUGAGUGAUGAAGGUCUUCGGAUCGUAAAACUCUGUUAUUAGGGAAGAACAAAUGUGUAAGCAACUAUGCACGUCUUGACGGUACCUAAUCAGAAAGCCACGGCUAACUACGUG
rnacentral:rRNA from 1 species